rnacentral:rRNA from 1 species
UACGUAGGGGGCAAGCGUUGUCCGGAUUUAUUGGGCGUAAAGAGCGUGUAGGCGGCUUUACAGGUCCGUUGUGAAAACUCGAGGCUCAACCUCGAGACGCCGGUGGAAACCGUAAGGCUAGAGUCCGGAAGAGGAGAGUGGAAUUCCUGGUGUAGCGGUGAAAUGCGCAGAUAUCAGGAAGAACACCCGUGGCGAAGGCGGCUCUCUGGGACGGUACUGACGCUGAGACGCGAAAGCUAGGGGAGCAAACGGG